rnacentral:rRNA from 1 species
CUACGGGGGGCAGCAGUGAGGAAUUUUGCGCAAUGGGGGAAACCCUGACGCAGCAACGCCGCGUGAGUGAUGAAGGCCUUCGGGUCGUAAAACUCUGUCAAGUGGGAAGAACCUAUGUAAGGUUAAUACCCUUAUGUACUGACGGUACCACUGAGGGAAGCACCGGCUAACUCCGUGCCAGCAGCCGCGGUAAUACGGAGGGUGCAAGCGUUAUUCGGAAUUAUUGGGCGUAAAGGGCGCGCAGGCGGUUUUGUAAGUCAGAUGUGAAAGCCCGGGGCUUCGCCUCGGAAGUGCAUUUGAUACUGGAAGACUUGAGUAUGGGAGGGGGAAGUGGAAUUCCUGGUGUAGAGGUGAAAUUCGUAGAUAUCAGGAGGAACACCAGUGGCGAAGGCGACUUCCUGGACCAAUACUGACGCUGAGGCGCGAAGGCGUGGGGAGCAGACAGGAUUAGAUACCCCCGUAGUC